GAUGAACGCUGGCGGCGUGCCUAAUACAUGCAAGCCGAGCGAACGGACGAGAAGCUUGCUUUUCUGAUGUUAGCGGCGGGCGGGUGAGUAACACGUGGAUAACCUACCUAUAAGACUGGGAUAACUUCGGGAAACCGGAGCUAAUACCGGAUAAUAUUUUGAACCGCAUGGUUCAAAAGUGAAAGACGGUCUUGCUGUCACUUAUAGAUGGAUCCGCGCUGCAUUAGCUAGUUGGUAAGGUAACGGCUUACCAAGGCAACGAUGCAUAGCCGACCUGAGAGGGUGAUCGGCCACACUGGAACUGAGACACGGUCCAGACUCCUACGGGAGGCAGCAGUAGGGAAUCUUCCGCAAUGGGCGAAAGCCUGACGGAGCAACGCCGCGUGAGUGAUGAAGGUCUUCGGAUCGUAAAACUCUGUUAUUAGGGAAGAACAUAUGUGUAAGUAACUGUGCACAUCUUGACGGUACCUAAUCAGAAAGCCACGGCUAACUACGUG
rnacentral:rRNA from 1 species